rnacentral:rRNA from 1 species
AGCCGGAGCGAAAGCGAGUCUGAAUAGGGCGAUCGAGUCGCGUGCUGUAGACCCGAAGCCAAGUGAUCUAUCCAUGGCCAGGUUGAAGCGGGGGUAAGACCUCGUGGAGGACCGAACCCACCUAGGUGAAAACUGGGGGGAUGAGCUGUGGAUAGGGGUGAAAGGCCAAUCAAACUUGGUGAUAGCUGGUUCUCCCCGAAAUGCAUUUAGGUGCAGCGUCGUGUGUUCAGUCAUGGGGGUAGAGCACUGAAUGGGUUAGGGGGCCUACAAGCUUACCGACCCCAAUCAAACUCCGAAUACCAUGACUCCAGAGCACGGCAGUGAGACCGCGGGGGAUGAGCUUCGCGGUCGAGAGGGAAACAGCCCAGAUCGCCGGCUAAGGCCCCUAAUUCUGGACUAAGUGGAAAACGAUGUGAGAUUGCCCAGACAGCCAGGAGGUUGGCUUAGAAGCAGCCACCCUUGAAAGAGUGCGUAACAGCUCACUGGUCGAGUGGUCUUGCGCGGAUAAUGUAACGGGGC